AUGAAACGUGUCUCACCAGAAAAACAAAAUAAUGAUAAUAAGCCAACACCAACAAACCUCACUUCUUCUCUCUUUCUCUAUCUAACCCCAACAAACCUCACUCUUCAUCUCUCUAGGGUUUCCCCACGAACUCCAUCGCAGCGCUCAUUCGCCCCUUUCUCGAUCACGAAUUCUCCAAUUUCUCCAUUUCAUACUCGAUUCCCUCUCGUUUCUACACCUAGACACGAAAGGAUUGUUAUGUAA